GGAGUCUAGCACGUGCGCGAGUCACUGGGACACAUAGAUAAACCCAAAGGCGAAAUGAAAGUGAAGGCGCGUUAACGCGCGCGCCUAGGGAGGAUGGGCGAAGUCGGCCGCGAGGCCGGUCGGAACCCCGCACUCCCGGGGCGUCUCGUUCUCAUCGCGAGAAGAGGCGCACCCAGAGCGUACGCGCUGGGACCCGAAAGAUGGUGAACUAUGCCUGGUCAGGACGAAGUCAGGGGAAACCCUGAUGGAGGUCCGUAGCGAUUCUGACGUGCAAAUCGAUCGUCGGAACUGGGUAUAGGGGCGAAAGACUAAUCGAACCAUCUAGUAGCUGGUUCCCUCCGAAGUUUCCCUCAGGAUAGCUGGCGCUCGACGCGAGUCUCAUCCGGUAAAGCGAAUGAUUAGAGGCAUUGGGGUCGAAACGGCCUCAACCUAUUCUCAAACUUUAAAUGGGUGAGAUCUCCGGCUUGCUCGAAAAAGUGAAGCCGCGAGAUCGGAUCAGAGUGCCAAGUGGGCCAAUUUUGGUAAGCAGAACUGGCGCUGUGGGAUGAACCAAACGCGGAGUUAAAGCGCCUAAAUAGACGCUUAUGGGAUACCAUGAAAGGCGUUGGUAACUUAAGACAGCAGGACGGUGGCCAUGGAA
rnacentral:rRNA from 1 species